rnacentral:rRNA from 1 species
GGGUUACUGUAGCAUGAUUCUCAGGGUGUUACAAAUUUGAAAGCUGCAAAGUAGGACAUAACAGUGCCAGAAAGGUCAAAAUGCUUUCUACCACCAAUUUAUUAUCCAAAAAGAAAAACCAAAGUAGACAUGAAAUAAAUUAGACUCUGUGCAAACCUGCUAUUUGAAUUCACAACAAACAUGUAAAUAGAUACAUUAUGAUGUUUAACAACAAACAAGUAUGGAACAAGGAACUCCAACGCUGUAGCGUAACAAAUAACAGUGACAAAAGGGUCAAAAUGCCUACUGCUACCAAUUUUUAAUCAAAAACUAAAACAAAUCAGAUGAGAUAAAAAAUUAGACUCUACAUACACUUUUGAAUCAUAGCCAAGGUUAGAAAACAGGAAGUCCAUAUGAGAUUAUUCAGAUUUAUCUGUUAAAUUGCUUUGGUAUAUUUUUACAAGAAAUACUCACAAUUAUAUGCUGGAAAAAAAUCAAAUAAAAGCUACCGAGCCAAGUUAUUAUUAAUUAAAGUACAAUUCAAGGAAGGUGGUGAAGAAAUUCAUUAUAUAUUAACCUAGAGUCACACAAAGAUAAAACUAACGGAAGUAGCAAAACAGACAAUGAAACAGUUGGAAGAAAAAACAACAUGCAAAAUUAAAAAAAUGAGGUAAACAUACUAUAUUAAGUCACAAUAUAAAUAUAUUUAUAUGGAAGUCAAACUAUCUUAAGGAUUAAUUAUAGAACUUGCUCUUGAAUUUAGUUAAAUGAACGCAAACUACAUGCUUAAGAACAUAAUAGUAUAGAUUGAAACAAUACAAACAUAACUAUAUUAUAGUAUCAUUCAAAAUGCAGCCGGAAAUGAGAACACACUAUCUGAAAACAACCUCGUUACGAAUUAAUUUCAGCAUUCAUACUUUUCAGUAUACAGAUGAUAGGUAGAACUAGAAAAAGAUCACUAAAAAGCACAGAACAACAUAACAAACUAGACUAAACAAACUCGCACAUCAAGGUAAAUAUGUCUAUGUGAACUUUACAUCAAUGAAGCAUGCAAACAUAAGAUAAAGAGUAGUACAAACUAGCUUUCUCAACGUGCGGGCAAUGAAUAAGGUAUUUGAGUUCAUUAAGGACAUAUAGACACAUCACAUCGAGACUACUACUAUAUCUUAAAGUGGUGCAACAUGGAUUGGGAACAAAGCUAAAACUCAGGCCAAAACAGAACAACAAGUAGAGGCAUACCAAGACUGACCAAACAUUUAUUGUUAACAAAGCUUGUAAUAAAAUUUUCAAGCAGAAAAAGGAAGGCAAGAAAAUUCAGAGGGAAAUUUUUAGACAUACAUGUAGCACAAGGAUGGCGUGAAGUUACAAAUAGGAGAACAUAGGAGAACGAGCUUAUAGUAAACAAAGAACACAUCUGAAGCUACCGACUUAUAAAUGACCACCAAGGUUGAGAAUUAAAACUAAGCUUAUGUAGAAGUUCACACCCCUACAAUGUAUUUCAAGGUGACCUGUACUAACACCGACUUGGCUCAUAACAUCACUUUAACCUUGACAUAAACCAUAAAGAAAUUCAUGUGAACAGUGGCCAGAAGCAGCAGUCUUGCAUAAAUAAUUUCAUCAGAUAGAAUCAUGGUUCUAUGCCAAGCAAAAUGAAAUUAUUGUAGGAAUUGGAACACUGUGCAUACAUUAUUGACAUUAUUCGAGAAGAUGGGUCAAAACUAGACAGGCACACAAACAGAAAUUUAAGAGUGGUUAUAGGAUAUGAGUCAAUUAGUUAACAAAUGAAUUGAUGAGAAAUAGUAGACAAACAGAAGCCCGUAUCCAAGCACACAUAAACAACAUCAGGUCAUAAACUUAUGUAAAAACUACAUGCCUUUUUCACCUUUCUAAUUGUGACCUUCUCUAUCGAAGAGGGAAAAAUGACAGCACAAUGGAUCAGGGACGAAUAAAUUUUUAAGUAAGCUCAAAACAGAUUAAAAUGUUCUAAUUUUGAAACCAAGGCACCUAAAAAUUAUAGUACAUGCCAUGUUUAUCAUCUCAACCAAAUAAGUGGGGAAAGUAGAACCAAAGCAAAAGCAAUAUGUGUCAUGCUUAUAAUCUCAACCAAUUAAGGGGAAAAGUUAACAGUAUGUGCCAU